GUCUUGACGGUUUGUACGGCCAGUACUCCCAAAUAAUCCCACUGUGCAUUUACUAAAACACCUUCAACAAUUCCUUGUAUUUACAAAGAUGCCCUUGUAUUUACAUGAUUACCUAUCAAUGGGUGUUCUACUUCCUGGCCAGAUUGCUUCAGGGUGUUUCCGGUACUGGGUCUGCAGCUGAUCUGGACCCUUUAAACUGGCUCACAAUGCUGCCACCAAUACCGAUGCUUUAAAUUUUAAACUCUUGACUGGAAUGGAAUCUUUACCGGAGGAAGCAUAAACACAAUCCCUUCAAAUUAAAAGAAUAAUAAAAAUGAUGAAAUCGGGGUAUGAAAGUUUCAAAUUGAACAUUUCUCUCCCUUAUUUCACUUGUUCAGUUGUAAUUUUUGAUGAACUUGUUCUUUAAGAAAGAAAAUCUGUUCUGAGCAGAGAUUGGGCCUAGAUCAAAAUUGAGAUUCCAAACCA